rnacentral:lncRNA from 1 species
UGGAAAGGACAGUUUAAGAGUGCACAAAUUGCUAUAGAAGAUUUGCAAGAAAGUAGAAUAACAUGGAGCAGCGGGUAUGAGCAUUGACGUUUGAGUUGGCAAUGGUCAAAGCUUCUUCAAGCCAAGUUGAGAAGGACAAAGAACGCAUUGAAUGUUCUUUUUUGGAGCAGUUGUCCAAGUCAAGUGAAGAAAUUAGAGAGCUAAAAGCACUGCUGAGCCGAAAAGAAGUUUAUGCGGGAGAUUUGGUGCUGAGUUUGACUCAAACACAAGAAGAUUAGAGAAUCUCCUCUGACAAGGUGCGUGCCUUAGAAAGCUCUUGUGCCUCUCUCCAAGACUCUUACGAUUCAACUUUGGCUAAAAAUGAAGAGCUCAAGAAUGAACUUGCUGUUUGGGAAAGAGACUAUGAGCUUCUCAAAGAAAAACUAGCUGUUGAAGUAAGUUGGGCUUUUCUAAACUCUCGCCGUGAUGCCUUGACUGAAGUUUGUCAAGAGAACUUCAACUUAGAGUCAGAAUUAGCCAAGGUUAUGGAGACGAUUGAAAAGGCUCAACAACCACUCGUUGAAGUAAGUUGAGAUUUUCUGAACUCUCGUCGUGAUGCCUUGACUGAAGUUAGUCAGGAGAACUUCAACUUAGAUUCGGAAUUGGCUUUGGUUAUGGAGACGAUUGAAAAGGCUCAACAACCACUGGACUUUCCUUCUCCUGCAAUUGAAGUCCCCAUGGCCGAAGCUCCUGAGGCUGAAGAUCUUAUGGCUCAAGCUCCCGAAGCUGAAACUCUCAUGGUUCAAGCUUCCGAAGCUGAAACUCUCAUGGUUCAAGCUCCUGAAGUUGAG